UUACCUUGGAAUGCUGCUGGUGGAUACUGAGGAGGAUACCCAGGUGGCAGCACAUCUGUUUCUGGAUGAGGAGCAUUCAUUUGCAUGUCUGCAAUUCAAGGAGAGGAAGGCUGGACUGUGACCCACCCCGGCUUCUCUUCCAUUCAACUGGCUUCGUAAUAACAGCAGAAUGCAGUCCAUGGAGACUGUAAAGUCAAGCAAUGAAGAUCAUCCUAUUCAAAUGAAGACUCUUCCCUGGACAUACACUGCAGGGACUUUUCCCAGGAAAGACACUUUUGGUACCAGAGCAAUAUCCUGGUUUUAGGUAUAUAGGAGGAAUUCAUACAAAGAAAAUAAGUGAAUGGGCAGGAGUUCAAGUAGAGCAAAGAGUAUAUGAAUUACAGGUUGAUUUCUGUAUUUGUGAAUGCAACUUAAAAUAUUUAAUAGCUUAUAAAAAUCAUAGGACUAUCACUUUGUGUUAAAGAUAUUUUAUUUUUACAUCUAUAUGUGUAUAUAUAUACACAUUAUAUACACAUUUAUUCUUAUACAUACACACAUUUUAUCUAUUUUUGCAUGUAUAUACAUACACACAUACAAUUAUAUAUACAAAACUGAAGAGUUAAAAGGUAACUAUGACCAUGGCCAAAUGAAUAUUUUUAAAUUGAGUGGAAGCAUCUUACAGCUUGUAGCAAAUAGCUUAAUUCUAUGUAAAUUUACAUUUCAAAAGCUUUGAGUUUUACAAAUAAAAAGAUCAUAAAACUUCACAUGGGAAAAUUAAGGGGUCUAGCUUUAAAGAUUAUCCAAUAUGCCUAGGUGGCUGACAUUAUAGUGAAAGGUAAAUAUUUCUUGACUAUGUCAAAAAAGAUAAGGAGAAUAAAAACCAUUUCAGAAAAUCA